GGAAAUUCAGAACUUAGGACUUGAGGGCAGGGGAAUGCUGAGGCCAAGGCCAUCCCCCUCACCUCUCUAGGGCCCAGGUAAUUCCACAGCCAAGAGGCAGAGCCCGUGCAAGGCCUAGGCUGGCCCUGAGAGCCUGUCCUGCACCCUCUGUGAGAAGGCUGGGUGCUGUCUGGGACUGCAAGGCCAUGGGUGCGCCCCUCUCUUCUUCGUCUCCCUUCCCCCAGCCUGGGGUGCGUCACAAGGGUGUUUUUCUAGACUCAGCUGGAACAAGGUCAUCUGGGCUUUGGAGGGGAAGAGCUGCAAGUGCCCUAGGUCAGUGCUCCCAGGGACUUGGCCAGAAAGCACAGGGUGGGGGUGGGGGUGGGGUGGAACACAGGGAACCCUGGGAGCCCUCAAGAAUCCCAGGGCUGCUCUCAGCCAGAGGGUCUCCCAGGGACCACAAAGCCCAUCUCUGCCUCCAUGCCAGAGAGAUCCCAACCCAUCCCAGGAAGAAAGCCAGAUGUUCUAAAGACCCACCCUUUCACACAGUGGCUGUUGGUUUGGUCUACACAAUCUUCCCCAUUUCUAAUCUGAAUCUUUUUUUUUUUUUUUUGGAUACCUGGGAUUGAACUCAGGGGCACUGGGCCACGGAGCCACAUCCGCAGCCCUAUUUUGAAUUUUAUUUAAACACACUUUCACUGAGUUGCUUACACCUGGUUUUUGCAGAGGCUGGCUUUGAACUCUCAAUCCUCCUGCCUCAGCCUUCCAAGCCGCUGGGAUUCCAGGCGUGUGCCACUGUGCCUGGCUCUAACCUGAAUCUUUUCUGCAAAUCUGAUAGACACCUUUAGGUUCCAGGAAUUAUUCAUGAUAUCCAGGAAGCAGUUUGUUUUUCCUCUUGUGAAUGAGCCAAAUUUGGGGAAGAGUCUAAGCUGCUGGUCUCCAGCCUCGCGGCCCCCAGCCCUCCUCCCCACCCAGCCACAUGGGAAAAUGCCCCGUUAGCCCUUCCAGUCAUGUGAAUGAGGCCACGAUUCAAAGGCAGUGGGCAAGAAGGAGGCCACAUAGAGCAGCCCGAAAGAACCAGCCCUUUGUGCUAGGCUGGGGUCCUUGGGGGAUGAGUGCAUGUUUGGCGUAUUUAGAAAGAUUUCUUUUUUAUAUAAUGAGCAGAGAGGAGGAAAGGGGAGGGCGAGACAGAGAGGCCAAAGGCAGGACUUGGGAAAAGAAGCAAGAGCUGGGGUGAGAGCUGCAAGAGCCACUAGAAGAGCAAAGGGAGG
rnacentral:lncRNA from 1 species